rnacentral:tRNA from 1 species
GCCGUAGUUGCUCUGUUGGUAGGGGCCGCUGGGUUUUCACCCCGGAUUUAGCGACGCGAGUUCGAUUCUCGUCUACGGUA